GGGGUUGUGGCUCAGCGGUAGAGUGCUGGCCCAGCAUGCAAGAGGCCCUGGGUUCAAGCCUCAGCACCACG
rnacentral:tRNA from 1 species